rnacentral:lncRNA from 1 species
AAAACUUCUUGUGGUACCAAAGCACAUCUCCUGACCCACUGCUGUGCAAAUGCAUGUAUAACCACUUGUUUGUUUGUACUUUUACAGGUGUUGGUUGCUUCUGUGCAGAUAUGGAACGUGGUUAAAGUUUUAUAAUGGAAAAUCUGACAGGCAGUUAACUAAUCCAUGAGUCAUAUUUCGUAAGUGCCUAAAGGUCUCUGAUGUUCGACCUUCAUUUGAUACCCUUGCCAUCAUGGAGUUAUACAUAACCCAUCUGAAGAACAUUCUUUAUAUAGAUGACUGCAUGCUGCCCUUUUAUACCUGCAAGAAUGAGCGCUGCACUUACUGAAACAGGGAAGUCUACUGCCUGCCUUUCCACCCCUCUCUCUCUGUGGCUGUUUACAGAACUGCAGAGUGCUUUUCAGGCUGUCAACUUCCCCUUAUCCUCCUUGUUUCCUGAUUCCCUGAGCUUGUGUAGAAACUGAUGCUGCGGCAGGGCAAGGUAAAGAACUGAAAAAUAAGUGAAGAAUUGUGACAGAAGAACAGGCGUUGCCCCAGGGACUCAUAUACUAAAACAUCUUGAAAAAAUCUUCUGAAAAACAGACCAGUUGUGAGUUGACAGUAUCCUUUUAAGAACAGUUUAUGUUGAAAGGUCCUAUGACCAAGUUUUGGCCAAGCACAAGUGUUAAUGAGUUUUUUGAAGUGAAAAGCAUUUAUAUAGACAAAAAUAGAUAGUACUGACAUGUCUCACAGUCAUUGUUUACAAUUUCUGUGUGAUCCCUUGUCCAGAUUUACAAUGAACACUUGCUGUCCCAGCAGAACUUAAAACGUUUAUGGUUUUCUCUUUAAUGCUAUAAUUAAAAACAGGAUGAUUUUCAUGGGACUAGAAUAAUAUGUAAUUCUUGUGAGAGCUCUAUCUUUUAAGCAGCCUUAUCUAAGGUAUAAUCCUCACUGACCUAAGCAUGCAGAGACAUUUUUUACACUUCCUUAUGUCUUCAUUGAGCAAUUAUACACCCUUAGGGUUAUUUCAACCUGAUAUCUUUAGAUAUCUAAUCUCUCACUAGUUCUUCACAUUUUGUGGAUGAAUGGAUGCUCCUUAUCGUGCAACAAAAAGACCAGUCUGGCGUCCCUAGGGCAGACCAUGCAUUACAGCAGAACUCAGAGAGGCGUAAUUAUAGAGGACAGGUAGAAAGUUAGCUCCUCGAAUGGGAAUUUCUUUGCACUGGAAUACUUACCUAUUUUGAUGUCUGAUGUUUAAUUAGCACUGUUCCUCUACAAAUACAUUUCUGCCAUGCGGAAACUUUUAACUUGCUUUUAAAAGUUUUGUUCUGAAAAUGGUUCAUGUAAGGUAUUUGAACCUGCUUUGUCUAGUAGUAUUAAUAACCUGGGGCAGACAGUGUUUAUAUGGUACCAAGCACCAUGAUGGCACUUAGUAAAUAAUGAAAUAAAUCACAGGCUUUGUUUCUGUUUAAACACUGUGCUUGACCUCUGUGGAUAUCUUCUGGAUCCUGCUCAACAGCCUCAUUUGGGUGCAACUGGAUAUUGUGCCAAUUUUAUUCCAGCUCCAUUAACGUAUGGCAACAAUACAGACAGUACAUCGCCUGACAAAGAACUCAUAGUCCUCCUCUGGAUUUAUGUAGCAAGAUUUUGGCAGUGGGGUGGCCUGCAAGAAGCCAGCAGCUGCCCCGUGUCAGAUCACAGCCCUUGUAGGAGCAGCCCAGGCCUGAGCUGCAGCCCAUGGAGAGCAGCCUGCAGAGGGGCAGGAGGGCUGAGGGAGCUGCCGCCUGUGGGGAACCGUGUGGAGCAGUGCCUGAAGGGUGGGCUCCAUGGUGCGGAGCUGUGUUGGAACAGUGCUGGGAGAGCUGCAGCAUGUGGAAAGCCCAUGUGGGAUCAGACCAGGAAGGAUGCCAUCCCAUGGGACGGACCCACACAGAACAGAAGCAGAGAGUGAUCAUGGAAGAGCAGAAGACAUGAAGCUUUAUGGACUGACCGCAGCCCCCUUUCCCUAUUCCCCUGUGCUCGUUGAGGGAAGGAGGUAGGAGUUGAGCCUGAGAAAAGGUGGGUGGAGGAGAGGUGUUGUCAGUCUGUUUUUAUUUCUCAUUGCCCUAUUACUAAUAGGCCAUAAAUAAAAUAAAUCUUCCCCAAGUAGCCUAUUUUGCUUGUGACAGUAAUCACUGAGUGGUCUCCCUAUCUUUCUCUCAACCGAUGAGCUUUUCCAUUGUAUUUUCUCUUUCUGAAGAGAAGUGAGAGAGCAGCUUGGUGAGCACCUAGUGAC